rnacentral:rRNA from 1 species
AGGAGGUUCCCUUCGGGGGCCCACCUCCCAUCCGUGUUGUCCUGACACCUGUUGCUUCGGCGGGCCCGCCGUGGUUCACGCCCCGGCCGCCGGGGGGUUCACGCCCCCGGGCCCGCGCCCGCCGAAGACCCCUGGAACGCUGCCUGGAAGGUUGCCGUCUGAGUAUACAAUCAAUCAAUUAAAACUUUCAACAACGGAUCUCUUGGUUCCGGCAUCGAUGAAGAACGCAGCGAAAUGCGAUAAGUAAUGUGAAUUGCAGAAUUCCGUGAAUCAUCGAAUCUUUGAACGCACAUUGCGCCCCCUGGCAUUCCGGGGGGCAUGCCUGUCCGAGCGUCAUUGCUAACCCUCCAGCCCGGCUGGUGUGUUGGGCCGCCGUCCCCCCCUCCCGGGGGACGGGCCCGAAAGGCAGCGGCGGCGUCGCGUCCGGUCCUCGAGCGUAUGGGGCUUUGUCACACGCUUCAGUAGAACCGGCCGGCUUGCUGGCCACACGACCUUCACGGUCACCUAUAUUUCUCUUAGGUUGACCUCGGAUCAGGUAGGGAUACCCGCUGAACUUAAGCAUAUCAAUAAGCCGGAGGAA